rnacentral:rRNA from 1 species
GACGUAGGGCGCGAGCGUUGUCCGGAAUUAUUGGGCGUAAAGAGCUCGUAGGCGGCUUGUCGCGUCGACUGUGAAAACCCGCGGCUCAACUGCGGGCCUGCAGCCGAUACGGGCAGGCUAGAGUUCGGUAGGGGAGACUGGAAUUCCUGGUGUAGCGGUGAAAUGCGUAGAGAUGUGGAGGAACACCAGUGGCGAAGGCGACUCUCUGGACCAGUACUGACGCUGAGGCACGAAAGCGUGGGGAGCAAACAGG